CACAACACCCACACAACACCUUAAGCUCUCUUCAACCCAAAACUCACAUAGAACCCCAUUUUCAUCAAACAACCAACCAAAAUGAAAAGAAAAACGUUAAUAACAGCAGCAAUGGAAGAGGAAACGAAAAUCUAAAGUCACUCAAACCCAACAACCACCAUGGAAAAGCAAAGACAAGCUUAAGAGCUCAAGCUUCAAAUAUCAACAAUAAGGAAAUGGAAGUAUAAUGCUAGGGAAUGACCCCUAGGUCGUCUCUCCAGGACCAACUGCGGUUCAGAGUCAAGUCUAACACAAAAAAGGGGGGGGAGGUUUGAAAAGUGUUUUCGCGAAUACAAAUAACUAAAUUAAAACAAAUGGACAUUAAACUCAACUGUGUAAGUUAGAAAACAUCAAGGUAAAAUAAAAUGCUAAUCCCAACAUUUCAACAAACAAUUAUCUAAACACAAGUAAGACUAUAAAAUGCAACACUAAAUUAGAGACAUCAAAAGCAACUAAUCCUACUAUGUAAAUUAAUGCAAAACAAAGGGGUAGUUAAACAUGUUUUUUAAUACAUUAAUUAUGUGACCAAUAUUCAUCUACCAAAUGAAAUUAAAAGUGCAAUUAGCUUGAGAAAACCCCCUUGGGCCGUGAGCUCCUAGUCCACCAAGGCCCAACUUCAAUUCUUGACUUUCUUCCUAAAAUGAACCAUGCAAGAUGUGUUGACUCUUUGUCUCAUAUGCACCAUACUUCAAGACAACAAUCAUGUGCCUUCCAUAUCAUUCAAAACCGUCCACCACUCCUUGCAUGUAGCAAAAUAAAAUGGAAUCCACACCAAGCCAAGCAAUUCAAGUGAAAAAGGCAAUUGUUAGGUGCAAAGAAUGCUUCUAAAAAGUUCACAAGUCAAAGGGGUGCUUUACUCUCUUCUUUCAAGAUGCCACAUGUGCAAAGUCAAGACAAGGGAAAACAAUCACAAUAACCUCCCAUUCUUCAAGCAUUUCACGGCCAUAUUGCUAGCAAAAGACAAGACCAAAAUGGAAAUCUUCAUUCUAAGAAAAUGUGAUCAUACUAUGCUUGGCCAAAUCGGGUAAAGAAUUAAAUGAAGCAUUCUCUCUCCUUGCACCACUCUUUUUUGGUUUUUCUUCAACAAGCAACAUUCAAAUUGUUCCUUCCAUUCUCCAUUACCGAGAACACACAAAGAAACCCAAGUUCAAAUGCAAAUUAACACAAGCAUAGCAAAACCAAGUUCCACCUUCAUAAAUCGAACUUCACCACUCACUUUGCUUCAACUUUUUGACCAAAACAAAACCAAACAUUUACCUUCCCUUGCAUUACCGUCCAGCCACCAUCAACAAUAACAAAGUCCAGCUCAAAAUAUGCUUCCAAACAUCAAAAACAAAAUGCUAGAAGAAAAUGGUUCAANAACCCAAUACCCAUGCACCAACUUAAGCCUUUUUCACUACCAAACUUGACAACAACUCCAUUUUCAUCCUCCAAAACAAGAAACUCAAGAUAAAUUCGAAUUCACUGCAGCAAAAUGAUGAGAAAACCGAAAUGAACAAUGGGUCUCCCUUCCAUCAAAGAAACCACCAUGAAAAAGCAAAGAAGAAGCUCNAAACUCAAGCAUUCAACCUUCAAAACGAAAAUCUAAAGAGAGAAAUGGUAGAGCUUCAUUCCAUCAAGCAAGAACAAACAUUGUUGCAAACAUUAGAAGAAGAAAAACGUGAUCUUAAUCCAUUCAAGCUCAAAAACGAAAAUGACACCUAAGGCUCCCAAGAGAGAGUUCAUACAUGCAAAGCCAAAGCAAAAGUGUGGAAUGAAGAGAGUUAUGUGUGUGUUCGGCAAUGCCCUAGGAAAUACUGUCCAACAUCAUAAA
rnacentral:lncRNA from 1 species